rnacentral:rRNA from 1 species
AACGAACGCUGGCGGCAGGCCUAACACAUGCAAGUCGAGCGAGGACUUCGGUUCUAGCGGCGGACGGGUGAGUAACGCGUGGGAACGUGCCCCUUGGUACGGAAUAGCCCCGGGAAACUGGGAGUAAUACCGUAUGAGCUCUACGGAGGAAAGAUUUAUCGCCAAGGGAUCGGCCCGCGUUGGAUUAGGUAGUUGGUGGGGUAAUGGCCUACCAAGCCGACGAUCCAUAGCUGGUUUGAGAGGAUGAUCAGCCACACUGGGACUGAGACACGGCCCAGACUCCUACGGGAGGCAGCAGUGGGGAAUCUUAGACAAUGGGCGCAAGCCUGAUCUAGCCAUGCCGCGUGAGCGAUGAAGGCCUUAGGGUUGUAAAGCUCUUUCAGCUGGGAAGAUAAUGACUGUACCAGCAGAAGAAGCCCCGGCUAACUCCGUGCCAGCCGCCGCGGUAAUAC